AGUGGGCAUAUGAUGAAUCUUAUAGUGUAAAUUGGGUAAUUUGCAUCUGAAUUGCAUUGAUGCUAUAUCACCAUGGAGGUCUGAUACACAAC